rnacentral:rRNA from 1 species
UGCGGCCUACGGGAGGCAGCAGUAGGGAAUCUUCCACAAUGGGCGAAAGCCUGAUGGAGCAACGCCGCGUGGGUGAAGAAGGCCUUCGGAUCGUAAAACCCUGUUGUUAGAGAAGAAAGUGCGUGAGAGUAACUGUUCACGUUUCGACGGUAUCUAACCAGCAAGCCACGGCUAACUACGUGCCAGCAGCCGCGGAAAUACGUAGGUGGCAAGCGUUAUCCGGAUUUAUUGGGCGUAAAGGGAACGCAGGUGGUCUUUUAAGUCUGAUGUGAAAGCCUUCGGCUUAACCGGAGUAGUGCAUUGGA